ACAAGAACAUACCACUCUGUAGCUUGGAAAGGAAUUUUAAAGGCAAGGAAUUGGCUAAUCAAACACAUUUCUUAUGCAAUCUCUUCUGAAACUAGUACUAAUAUGUGGUAUGAUCCUUGGGUGAAUGGGAAGAGUAUAUUUCAAUUAUAUGGCGAUAGAAUACGAAAAGAUCUUGGGGCUCCCAAAGAUUGGAAGGUUUUC
rnacentral:lncRNA from 1 species